UAUGAAAUCAACGUCUACUGACAGCGAGCACGAACUGCAAACUCUUUCUGUGUGAACGAGUUAUUUGUUUAUGCUCAGGAGACAAUUGACUGCUUGCGAUACUGAAACCACGGUUGAGGAUUGUCACUAUGGAGAGCCUGGAAAGAAAGGUUGUACUGCUGCAACGCUUUAACAAGACAGCCAACGACCACAAGAAAGCCCUGGAAGCCUUGAGAGAUACCAUUGGAGAAAGAGUUGAUGCACUGCGCCAGUUCGACCAAUCACUGUCGGCAGACCAGCUGUACAGAACGGAAGAUCUUCCACAGGAUGAUUCUUCUAACAGUGCAAAGAAUCCCAGG